rnacentral:rRNA from 1 species
CUACGGGGGGCUCCAGUGGGAAAUCUUAGACAAUGGGGGAAACCCUGAUCUAGCCAUGCCGCGUGAGCGACGACGGCCCUAGGGUUGUAAAGCUCUUUCAGCAGGGAAGAUAAUGACGGUACCUGCAGAAGAAGUCCCGGCUAACUCCGUGCCAGCAGCCGCGGUAAUACGGAGGGGACUAGCGUUGUUCGGAAUUACUGGGCGUAAAGCGCGCGUAGGCGGAUUGUUAAGUCGGGGGUGAAAUCCCGGGGCUCAACCCCGGAACUGCCCUCGAUACUGGCAGUCUUGAGUUCGAGAGAGGUGAGUGGAAUUCCGAGUGUAGAGGUGAAAUUCGUAGAUAUUCGGAGGAACACCAGUGGCGAAGGCGGCUCACUGGCUCGAUACUGACGCUGAGGUGCGAAAGCGUGGGGAGCAAACAGGAUUAGAUACCCGGGUAGUC